rnacentral:rRNA from 1 species
GGCCCAGACUCCUACGGGAGGCAGCAGUGGGGGAUAUUGCACAAUGGGGGGAACCCUGAUGCAGCGACGCCGCGUGGGUGAAGAAGCGCCUCGGCGCGUAAAGCCCUGUCAGCAGGGAAGAAAAUGACGGUACCUGACUAAGAAGCCCCGGCUAACUACGUGCCAGCAGCCGCGGGAAUACGUAGGGGGCAAGCGUUAUCCGGAUUUACUGGGUGUAAAGGGAGCGUAGACGGCAGUGCAAGUCCGGAGUGAAAGCCCGGGGCUCAACCCUGGGACUGCUCUGGAAACUGUAAAGCUGGAGUGCGGGAGGGGCAGGCGGAAUUCCUGGUGUAGCGGUGAAAUGCGUAGAUAUCAGGAGGAACACCGGUGGCGAAGGCGGCCUGCUGGACUGCGACUGACGUUGAGGCCCGAAAGCGUGGGGAGCAAACAGGAUUAGAUACCCCAGUAC